rnacentral:rRNA from 1 species
GACGAACGCUGGCGGCGUGCCUAAUACAUGCAAGUUGAGCGCUGAAGGUUGGUACUUGUACCGACUGGAUGAGCAGCGAACGGGUGAGUAACGCGUGGGGAAUCUGCCUUUGAGCGGGGGACAACAUUUGGAAACGAAUGCUAAUACCGCAUAAAAACUUUAAACACAAGUUUUAAGUUUGAAAGAUGCAAUUGCAUCACUCAAAGAUGAUCCCGCGUUGUAUUAGCUAGUUGGUGAGGUAAAGGCUCACCAAGGCGAUGAUACAUAGCCGACCUGAGAGGGUGAUCGGCCACAUUGGGACUGAGACACGGCCCAAACUCCUACGGGAGGCAGCAGUAGGGAAUCUUUGGCAAUGGACGAAAGUCUGACCGAGCAACGCCGCGUGAGUGAAGAAGGUUUUCGGAUCGUAAAACUCUGUUGGUAGAGAAGAACGUUGGUGAGAGUGGAAAGCUCAUCAAGUGACGGUAACUACCCAGAAAGGGACGGCUAACUACGUG